AGAACGUGACGGGAGGGGCCGGAAGGAGGCGGAGAAGGAGGGGCGGGCACACUCGGAAGUGACCAAUGAUAUCAGCAGUAGCCGCGAUCGUGACCCGUGCGAAAGCAGGGGAGGCAGAGCGCAGGGCCUGAAGGGAGGGGCGCGGGCGCCGGGAGCCGAGUGAGAGAAGACGGAAGUGGAGCGAGGACAAAAUGGCCUCGAAGGUUGUUGCGCCCCUCCCCCACCCAAGCCCGCAUUCUCUCUUCCUGCCGUUACCCCAGGAUUGAAGAUGGUCCCUUCGGCGCUCCCGCGUUGCGCGUACUCACAUUUCGUCGCUGGCGUGGCUUUGGGCUAGGGAUUGCCCAGAGGGGCUGGACUGCAGGUUCCAGCCCUAGGACACAGCCAGGAGAUACCCAGCAAGGAAGUCCUUAGAGACAUCCAGUUUGAGAAAAAAUUGACAAUUAUUCUGGUCCUGGUCAACAGAUAGAUGGAUUUGGACCCUUGCUUUCCCCCUGGUCUAAAGGCACAAUGUGAUGCCUCUUUGGAGAUGAUCAGCUUACAUCCUUUUGCUUGUUUGGUGUCAUACAAGGAAAGUGCUCAUCUGAAUCUUACCAUGCAAACCUCACUGCUAUUUAAAUGACUUCUCAUCUGGUUGGAGGGGCUUGUGUGCUGGUGACUGAGCUCAGAUGACUUAGAAGAGUCCUAAUUCCCAUACUCCUAGGAAAGCGUGGGAAUCAGGUUCACUCUAAUUCAAACAGUUUGGAAGGCUCUGCUCUGGCUGGAGAUCGUGCUGGGUGUGGCUUCUGCUUUGGUCAGGGUAGCGUGGUGGACUUUCUUUGGUUCAGAACGUCUCACCUCUGGCCCCACUGGGCUGUAUGCAGUGGUGGUCAGCCCUGGCUGGGGUGCUUCAGUUGACAGUGUCCGCUGGCUGCGUGAGGCACUAUUUGCUGUGGAGCGAGUGGAGGAAGAACCAGAGCGUGAGCUCCGGGACCCUGAGGAAGAGAAGCUAGGCUUCACAAGGCGGGCUUUCGGGGCUUCAGCAUCUUCUCUGAAGAGAAAACAUAGCAAAGAGCAAAUUUAAUACUGGCGGGACUACGAUAGUUUCCAUUAUGGCUGCUCCCUUCCAAUGUUUCCCAAUAAAUUCCUCAGGCUGUAAAUUUCAAGUAAUACUGCUGGAAGGUGGCCAUUUACAGAAAUAGGCACUUCCCCAUUUCUUGAGACUUAAUGCUUGGCUUAGGCAAAUGUGCGUUUUGUUAGCUCAGAGUCAACCCUAUUAUACUGGGAGGAUAUGGGUUCACCAUUGAGAUGGUCUAGACAGCACUGCCCUGGAUUUGGAGUUUGUCUGCCUAAACCCUUUCAUGGCCCAUAGGCUAUCCCAUUCUUUAUUGUAUGCCCUUUGUUAGUGAAAGUGAAUGUGAAGCAACAAAGAGUUGAUCUUCAAAUUUCUGUUGAAUAUAGAUGAUUUCACAAUAAAAUCAAGGUUUACCAGACCUUCUAUUCCUGGGCUGCAACUCCCUACCUAUCACAAUAAUCCUCUAACAAAUUCAAGUUUAAGAGGAAACUGGGGACAUUGACUCAUAUGUUUGCUGAUCAUUAUGAACCUGGCCCAAGAAAGGAAGCCUCAAAGAAGUAGGGUUUUGGAGGGAGGUUUACCGGAUUUCAUUAGGUCUGUCUUCUUCCUCAUAUCUCUCUUUGUCUUUCCUUCGGAUUAGCAGCCACACUAAGAGGAAAAUCAGCAGGGCCCCAGCCACCAUGCCUGUCACUGCUCCUGCAACCAUGCCGAUGCUUUGUACAUCUGUUUUCUCAGAAGCAAAAGCAAAGGAAAACCAAACAUAAGUUGGGAAAUAAUAUGAGCUCAAAAAACCAGCCCAGCAGAGGAAGGUUGUGGCAGUGGAGAAGAAAGAAGUGUGUGAAGUUAAGAUAAAUUUGGGGAUUAGAGCUAAUGGGAUUGCUUGGGUAUGGGAGUGAGGGGAAAAUAAAAAUUAAAAAUGGGUCCUAGGAAUUAUGUUAAAUUGUUUUAACUAUGAUAGUAUUGUGGUUUUAUAUAUAUAUAUAUAUAUAUAUAUUUUAAAGACAGCUAUUAAAGUAUGUACAGAUAAAAAAAACAAAACAAAAAACCCAAGCCCAGGACAGGGUAUUUCCAGGUCUUUAUAUCUAUCUUCCUGUGUGGUACCCCAUUACCCUCUUUUAGUACAUGACUAUCCACUUGAUAUUUUUGCAGUUGGGCUUACUGAAUCACAGAUUUCACCAGCACUUGGCCCAGAUUUUAGUGAAUAAGGCUGGGUUGGUUCCAAUGAUAGAACUAGGCUGGGAGAGUUACUAUAUGGCAUUCAAAGAUUUCUCAACCUUUAUAGGCUAAACUUUGGGCAGUCCUCUGGCUCUGCCAACUUCUCUGCUUCCUCUAACUUCCCCUUUCUCCCACCAGUAAAAUAAAAAGAAAUAUAAACUAUAAUGUUAGGCUCUAUGUAGAUCAGCCACUUGAUUCUAGAAAUUUAGAAGUGAAGAUAAAUGUAAUUUGCACAUUAGCAACUCACACACCUUUUCAUAUUAAGUGGAUACCCUGAGCUAGGGACAGUUCCAGGCAUUGGUGAAGACAAAGUUCUUGCUUUCAUUGGGUUUUCAUUCCAAAAGGGGGAAAACAGAUAAUAAACAACUAAAUAAAGAUAAUUUCAGAUAGUGGAUAAAUUCUGUGAAGGCAAAAGUGGAUGAGUGAUACUUUUGAGGGAAAAGGAAAGAUACUCCUUAAGAUUGGGUGAUCAGGACUCCGAGGAGGUAACAUUUGAACUGAAAUACAAGUAAUAUAAAAUACUAUCUUGUGAUGGUCUAGGGACAGAACAUUACAAGUAGAAGGAAUAGCAAGUGUGAUGAAUGUGAGUGGGUCUGGAGCACAGUGAGCAAGGGGAGUUGGACUGUAGGCCCUAUAGGCCAUGGCGAGGAUUCUCUUGGAAGAGGAGUGGAGAGUAACAUGAUACAAAUUACAUUUGAGAAGGCACACCAGUGAGGAGGCUAGAGAUGGUGGUGACUUAGGCAAGGGUGGAUGUAAUGGAGAUAGAAAAAGGUAGAUGGACAUGAUCUAUAUUCUGGAAGUAGAAUCAACACAAUUUGCCAUUUAUUGUUGUCCUCCUAGCUUUAGAAGAACAAAAUGACCUCUUAAUAUAACAAAUCACUUAUUAAAGAAAUUGGAUUUUGGAUCUCAUUUAGGAUUUUAUCCUAGGUCCCAAAGGGCUGAAGUUUAUUUUACCUGAACACUUACAGUGGGUAAUACUGUUUUCCCUACUGUCCUUCCUCUACCACACAGUCAUAAUCUAGAUGGAAUGUCUGUUGAUAAAACCUUUGGUUGCUUUCUGUUUUGCAUAACUGAAAAUGAUGUAUAAGUGAACAUCUGUAUGUAUUUGCACACUUGUGUGAAUGUCUCCAAAGGAUAAAUUCACUGAAAUAUUGCUGGAUAAAAAGAAAUGAAUUUUAGCAUCUAAAGUAAAAUGUAUCAUGAACUGUUACGUAUUCAUAUAGUAAAGUACUACACAGCAAUGAAAAUGAACAAAUUAUGACUACCAGCAACAACAAUGAUGAAUCUCAAAAACAAAGUGUAGUAAAAGAAGCUAGACACAAACAGAAUGUGAUGCUACUUAUUUAGGUUCUCAAACAGGAAAUCUUUAAAGUUAGAUCUCUAGAUAAUGGAGGAGUGGAGGGAAGGUAGUAAGAGGGCAUUGGGUAUUCUUAAUCUUGAUGCCGAUUACACAGGUGUAUUCCCUUUUGAAAUGUAUCAAGUUGUACACCUAAGAUUCAUGCACAUUUCUUUAUGUAUACAUCAAUAAAUUUACCCCCAUAAAGAAAUAUACAUUGAAAUCUUUGAUAGAUUAAGCCAGGUUGUGCUACCAAUUUAAACUGUAGCUGAAAAUGUAAAGGCCCCUGUUACCCCAUAACUUCUCUAGCAAUGGGCAUUACCUUAAGUCUUUGUUAAUCUGAUAGAUUAAAAUAAAACAGUGUUUUAUUUGCCUUCUUGUUUACACUUAUUGACCAUUUGUAUUCUGUUUUCUGUUAACUGCCUGUUAAAUUUGUAAGAAAAAUUAUCAGAAGCUUGAAAAUAGGCAAAAGGAGUUGCUGGGUGUUCCUUCAGUACAGUGCUAGGCUUUGCAUUUUUAUUGCCUGGGCAGUUUACAACUCUGUAGGGGCAACACGUCCAGUAAUUGUUGUCCAGUUGAACAGGUAAACCCAGAGAUUGCAGUCUGUGACUUCGUAGUUUGGUAUCUAACCUAGCAACCUUAUCUUAACAUUUCUUUGUUAAAUUGUCUCUAGAUACCUAAUUUCUCAAAUGCUUUUUGGACCAGUUUUCACAUCUUCCUAG